rnacentral:rRNA from 1 species
CAGAGAGUGUGUGCCAGCAGCCGCGGUAAUACGUAGGUCCCGAGCGUUGUCCGGAUUUAUUGGGCGUAAAGCGAGCGCAGGCGGUUUGAUAAGUCUGAAGUUAAAGGCUGUGGCUCAACCAUAGUUCGCUUUGGAAACUGUCAAACUUGAGUGCAGAAGGGGAGAGUGGAAUUCCAUGUGUAGCGGUGAAAUGCGUAGAUAUAUGGAGGAACACCGGUGGCGAAAGCGGCUCUCUGGUCUGUAACUGACGCUGAGGCUCGAAAGCGUGGGGAGCGAACAGG